AAUAUAAUGCUCCGAGACUGUUUUUGGGCGCGUGCCCAGUAUCCUCAUUUGGCCCCUGUUGUCUUGCGCGGCGCCUGCGUUGUCGAGAAAGGUUUCUUGCUGGUUGCCUCUCGCGGCCUUAAUUGUGUAAUUUCGGCUUCCGGAGCUAGAUACUUUCUGUAAUAGCAAGAAAAGACCGGUCGGCAUCGAGUAUUGCAUAUCGCCUUAAAUUAGCUAGUGUGAGGAAAUAUGUUUGUUUAAUAUCUUAACAGCCAUACAUACAUGCAUAGCUAGCUCAUUCUAGUAAUGUAACGGUUGCUUGUUAGCCAGCUCAGACUAGUUAACGCCGACGUCUAAAACCUAGCUAACGAGCUUAGCAAAUGCUAACCCUUCCUAGCUAGGGCUACGUUGCUUGCUUACGUUGGAUAUUGUUAUUUACCUGCUUGCUUAGCUAGGUCUAUGAGACUGCUGGAAACUAUACGGACCUACCUCAUCACUGUAGUUAGCUAGCUGAAUAAUUUGGUUGGCAGGAUAUAUGUGUGGGUGUAACGUUAAUUCCCGAGUCCGGGCAAGAAGUACCCGGAAGGGACGAGCAACUGCCGCCUUUGUUGAUGUAUGAUCAAGCUAACAUAACCGUAGACACUAGCUAAUAGUUGCAGCGAUUAGACUUUGUGGGAUCCGGCAAUCAAGCUUUCAAGUCUAAUUUGGGAUAAAUGGUUCAAAAAGAAGAAAGCCCAGCACUGAUUUAGCUGCAUCACUAUCACCACCACAUCCAGUCUGCAUCUCCUGUCCCCACUACCUCCAUCCAGUCCCCUGUGCCUGCCUGUCUUGUCUGCUCUGAGAGAGACGGGUCUAUCUGGGCUAUACAGAGUAACGAAGAACAAACACAGCUGACAUUGAAGCACCAGCACUGACUGGUUUUGGGCUCUAGAGACCACACCAAGGACUUAGACAGAGAGAGCCCAGUUGGAGGGGGAACAGGAGGAGGAGGAGUUGCUGCUUUAGUUUUUUUGCUGCAGAGGUCCUCUUUAUCCUGGUCCUGGGACACAGCGUAUUGUUUUGGUCAACACCCCUGCUCUGUUCUGCCCUGCCGACAUCAGCCAACGGUGGUGUCACAAAGCAGAGGGGUCUCUGUACCCUGUCGUCACUUUGAUUUUAUCUCUCACCCCCCCCCCCCCGGGUU